CCUACGGGAGGCUGCAGUGAGGAAUAUUGGUCAAUGGACGAGAGUCUGAACCAGCCAAGUAGCGUGAAGGAUGACUGCCCUAUGGGUUGUAAACUUCUUUUAUAAAGGAAUAAAACGAGCCACGUGUGCCGUUUUUGCAUGUACUGUAUGAAUAAGACUCGGCUAACUCCGUGCCAGCAGCCGCGGUAAUAAGGAGGUACCGACCGUUAUCCGGAUUUUUUGGGUUUAAAGGGAGCGUAGAGGGGUUGUUAAGUCAGUUGUGAAAGUUGGCGGCCCAACCGUAAAAGUGCAGUUGAUACUGGCAGUCUUGAGUACAGUAGAGGUAGGCGGAAUGCGUGGUGUAGCGGUGAAAUGCUUAGAUAUCACGAAGAACUCCGAUUGCGAAGGCAGCUUACUAAACUGCAACUGACAUUGAUGCUCGAAAGUGUGGGUAUCAAACAGGAUUAGAUACCCCUGUAGUC
rnacentral:rRNA from 1 species